UGAUGGUGCCUUCCUGAGGUGGAGACUGCUGGGCUCUGUUCCCGUCUGUGGCUCACCCUCUAGUCUGGGAGUGCUUUCCUGUUCAGAUAGCUCAUUCCAACCUCUUAGUCACUUUGGAGAGCAUCGUUCAGUGAGUCAGCACGGGACCUGGAGCCCAGGGACCCCUCCCAGCCAGGCCAGCGCACACUUGAAAUCUGCAGUUUGUCUUGGGUUCCCUGGAGGUGAUUGCUUGACUGCAGAGGAAUGCACGGGUCUGAGGAGAAUUUGCCCAGUGUGUUUAGAAGGAAUGCAUUCCUGGAGAAAGUUAAAAUUAGAAAAAGCUGCUACAUUUCCUGCCAUUCAGUCACAGUUGGCUGGUGUUUGUUUGCACAAGGAUUCUUUGAUUUGUGCUUGAGAAGCUCUGAGUUCCCGUGCGUCCACCCGCAUUGGCAUUACAGCCUGUCUGGUCCUGGGAUUGUUCUGUUUGUGUUUGCUGUUACUCUGCAUAUCAAGGCUGCUGGCUUUGGGUUAGGAUCCCAGCUUUUCAAUUCCUGAUCUUGGGUGAGUCUUUGAAACCGGGUCAGCCUCAGUUCUCUUAUCUGCUAAAUGAUGGCAUGAUAAUACAUGUCUGGCCUACCUCGCAGGGUUGUUGUGAAAAGCGACCGAGAGGCCAGAUGGGAAAGUAUGUUGUCAACUAGGAUACAUUCUGCUAAUAAUUCUAUUUGUUUAUUUUUUUUGUGAUGAAGUUCCACUCUUGUUGCCCAGGCUGGAGUGCAAUGGUGCAAUCUUGGCUCACUGCAACCUCAGCCUCCCAAGUAGCUGGGAUUAUAGGCAUGUGCCUCCACGCCCAGCUAAUUUUU
rnacentral:lncRNA from 1 species